GAUGAACGCUAGCUACAGGCUUAACACAUGCAAGUCGCAGGGUAACAUGAGGAAAGCUUGCUUUCCUUGAUGACGACUGGCGCACGGGUGAGUAACGCGUAUCCAACCUUCCCAUAACUACGGGAUAACCCGUUGAAAGACGGCCUAAUACCGUAUGAUAUCGUUUGCUGACAUCAAAUAACGAUUAAAGGUUUAGCGGUUAUGGAUGGGGAUGCGUCUGAUUAGCUUGUUGGCGGGGUAACGGCCCACCAAGGCGACGAUCAGUAGGGGUUCUGAGAGGAAGGUCCCCCACAUUGGAACUGAGACACGGUCCAAACUCCUACGGGAGGCAGCAGUGAGGAAUAUUGGUCAAUGGGCGAGAGCCUGAACCAGCCAAGUAGCGUGCAGGAUGACGGCCCUAUGGGUUGUAAACUGCUUUUAUGUGGGGAUAAAGUGCGUGACGUGUCAUGCAUUGCAGGUACCACAUAAAUAAGGACCGGCUAAUUCCGUGCCAGCCGCCGCG
rnacentral:rRNA from 1 species